GAUCGUUCUCACAGCGUACCAAGUGCCACACAACUCUCUUUGUUUGGACGAAGCGCAGACAACAGCACCCCUGUCACGCGCUCCUUUUUUCUACCCCCCCCCUCCUCCCCCACCUCCUCCGUGCAGCCCUCUCUCCCAUUUCUCGCUGUUCGCGCCCUGUCUGGGGCUUCGCUUCGGUCUUUUCUCAUCAAGUUGUGCGGCGGACGAGAGCGCAAGAGGGAUCGUCUUUGCGCGUGUGUCCGUCGAGGCUCGGGUGCGUGCCACCAUCAUACUUCCCCCCACCCCACCCCACCCCCCCCAAACACACACAUCUCCACAGCAUCCCUCAACAUAUUCGACGAAGAGGAUCGGGAGAAGAAGGGAAAACAUACCAGAGUUGUGUGCUUCUCUAUUUUCUAUUUGCGAUGCCGGACGAUCGCCGUCGCUCCUCCCGCACGGACGGUGCGCUCGUCGCGCACCGUCCGGACGACUCCGCGUCGCCGGUGGAGCGACGGAUGAGGGUUGAUCCGCGCACCCAUACGAAGUCCUUGUACCAGCGCGGCCCCGAUGGCAGCGAGAUGUACGCGUCCUACUAUAACUCCAACGACGACCCUACCUUUCAGGAGCGCUUUAACCGGCACAACAACGGCAAUGCCUUUGUGCAGAGCGCGCAGUUCACAUAUGUGUCGCACGGAUGUGGCGGGGGUCGCAAUCCCGGCGUCGUGAAGGAGCGCCAGCGUCCAGUCGUGGUCGAGGAGCCAGUGGGCGCGGACAAGCACGAGGCGAGCACGGACAGUGGUAACAAUGCCAACGUGUACGCCAAUCACAGGGAUAAGGAGAAGCGUCGAACGUCGAAACAGGAUCCCAUCGUUGAAGAGCCCGACGGUGAAAACGACUACAAUGACGCUGAUUCGCGAGCCCACCGCCGCAGCGGCAAGAAAGGCGAGCGCAGCUCACAUCCAGACGCCCUAGAGUUCUGGAGGGAUCCGUGGGGUAUGGAGUCGAUGAUGGCGGAGAUGAUGCAGCCACCGCUGGGAUUUGGGGACGCGUUCCCCUUCACCUCUCGGCGUGCGCCAGCGCAGGGUAGACAGAAGUCGCCGUCGGCCUCGGACGAAUCGAAGUGGCAGCUCAGCCCCUACAGCCGCGGCGGGGUGAUGGGCGGUCCGUUCACGGGAGAUUUCUUUGGCACCGGCGGGCCCGAGAGUCCGUUUCGCAUGAUGGAGGCAAUGCAAUACCACAUGCAUAAGCAGCGCGCCGCCAUGUUCGGCGGCGUCGAUCCCUUUGCGCGUUUUAUGUAGGGUGAGAGAACAACCAUCAGAGAGAUGCGAGUGCGCGCGCAUGCGACAUCCCUGCCGACGUCUCUGCCGCGCACCUCGCUCCCGGCGGCCUCGUUACCUUCACGUCUUGGCUGAGCUCUCUCGCUGCUCUUUACUUUUCUUUCUUUUUUUUUCUUCGACCCCUCCCCUCCCUCGAACGUGUGCGUGCGUGUGUGUGUGUGUGUUUCUGGCAACCCAAAGAACUCUGCAUUUUGCCUACGUCACGAAGAAGCAGCAGAGACACACGCCUUUCUUUCCCUCGGCGUGGAUGCCCCUCGUGUCCUGAGGGGCGGCCUUCGCUCUCGUAGCGGCGGUCUGUUCGAGAGAGUGAGGGAGAGAGCUAUGCGCAAGAGGGCAAAAAACUAUAUAUAUAUAUAUAUAUAUACAUAUAGCAACCGGUCAAGCUGAUCACACCAUAGACAUACACAGACGCAGACACAGACGGCCACGUCUCGUUUCUCUCACAGGCGGCAUGAUGCUAUCCACGGUAUCUUUGGGUUUGCUCGUGUUGCCCUCGGGCCCGCCGCUACCGGGAGCGUAUGCUUAUGGAUGUGCAUAUAUGUAUCUUCUCUUGUCCACGCGGGCAACUCUUGUGCGUGUGUGCGUGCGUGUGUGUGCGUGCGUGCGUGUGUGUGUGUGUGUGUGUGUGUGCGCACGUGCUGAAGGAUCGGGUUGUGGUCCUUUCCAUCCUGUCCUGUUCUCUUUGUCGUUCUUAUUGUUGCUCGCCUUCCCUCCCUUGUCCAUCCUCUCCGCUGUGCUUGCCUCUACUAGGCGGAAGACGGAAGAAACGAAACAGAUACAAUAUAUAUAUAUAUAUGGUUUUGUUUACAUGGGAGAGACGCGUGGGGGAGGGAUAGAAGGGAACGAUGUGUCUGCUGUACGUGCUCCUCCCGCCCUUCUGCCUCUCCCUCUCUCACUCUGCCCUCUGUGUGUGUGUGUGUGUGUGUGUGUCUUCCUGCGCUUCGCUCGCCACGAUGGAAGCAUGGGCAUAACCGAAGCCGCGAGGUGUGAAGGCGUGUGUGUCUCGUGAACGAUGCGGAUGCGACGCACCACCCUCAGGGAUGACGAGGCGGCACCGCAGGGAGACUACACCAACGAGAGAACAUAUAUAUUUAUUUACGUAUAGCACUGACUGCGGAGGUCGUCAGCUCCUUCGCUUUACAACCACGGCUAUUUAUGAGCACGUGAAGGGAUGGGUUGGAGAUGAGGAGGGAGAGAGAGGCGUGCUGCUGUGUGCUUUAGUGACGCACGAGUAGGGGUGAAGAAGGUGAUAGUGGCGACGUCGUGGUAAGACAGCGCCGCUGUAUACCGCACGGGCUGCUGGCGGUGAUCCUUCGUUUCCCCCAUCUCUCUCCUGCGAAUGGUACACACGACCCAGCGGCCUCCGAAACGCGUUCUCACUCUCUUUGUUUUUUUUUCCAGUUUCUUUCGAAGGUUCGCCAACCUUAGCGGCAUGUGUGGGACAGUGAAAGAGUGGGGGAGGGGGUGGGCGAGAAGGGGGCUUCAUGUGGUGGCGAGGCUUUUGCUUUUGGAUGUUGAUGCAUCCACCCUUCGCGCACACACACACACACGCGCGCCCAAGCACACAGAAAGGAGAAAGAAACACACAAGCCACCCCGCCCCUCCCCGCCGUCGUUCACGCGCUACACUACCGCCACUUGUCGUCCAGCCCCUACGCUUCUCUUUGUUCUUUCCCCUCCUCUCUCCACCCCACCCCCGGCCACCAACAACUGUGGUUCGCCUGGCACACUUCUGCGCUGCUCUCGCUUCAUCUCCUGCGCGCGCGUGUGCCGUGUGCUUGUGUCCUCCUAUUGGGAAGCCAAAGAC
rnacentral:misc_RNA from 1 species